GGGCCCGCACAAGCGGUGGAGCAUGUGGUUUAAUUCGAUGCAACGCGAAGAACCUUACCAGGACUUGACAUACUACAGAUCCUUUUGAGAAAAAGGAGUGCCUUCGGGAAUGUAGAUACAGGUGGUGCAUGGCUGUCGUCAGCUCGUGUCGUGAGAUGUUGGGUUAAGUCCCGCAACGAGCGCAACCCUUAUUUUUAGUUACUAAUUCGUUAGGUUCUCUAGAAAGACUGCCGGUGACAAACCGGAGGAAGGUGAGGAUGACGUCAAGUCAGCAUGCCCCUUAUGUCCUGGGCUACACACGUGCUACAAUGGUUAAGACAAAGAGUCGCGAGCUCGCAAGAGUCAGCUAA
rnacentral:rRNA from 1 species